CGAAUAGUAUUGUUUAUUUUUAUAGAAACUGUCUAACUCGGCUUCGGCUAACCAAACCGUAAUCGUGAUAAAAGUGUGAGUGCAUGAACUUUACUGCGGCUUAUUUAUUUAUGUCGCACGACUGCCAAUUACAAAACAAACAAAUAAUAUAAUAUGUUUCAUUGGAUAGAACCGUUCUAAUGUUACGUAAUAUGCGCAAUCAUUGAGUCUUGUCGGUCCACAAUUUGCACUUUAACACUCGUUUUGCGCACCUCGUGAGAGGCUUAAAACUUUAAAUUCUCUCAAAAAGCACUUCCCCACCUACGGUGACAUCAGUGCAAGUCUUUUGAUUGGAUGCUCCCCUUUUUAAGUUGGUUUAACUAUUACAGAAAUCAAUCGCAAUAGACUAGCCAAAUAUACUUUAUAAAGGGUGUGUAGUUGAAAAUAUUUUAGUACCAUUCCAACUGCUAAAGAGGUUGAAUUCUCUGAUACAGAAAGGCUUUCAAAUCAAACCAAUUCCUGGUUGCGAACUUAGACAUAUUCCUUUUUGUAUCUUUCUUUUCUCGACAUUAUUUUAUCGUGGGUUUCUUUUUUUUGAGCUUUGAGAUAUCUAGCAUUCCGAAAAUUCUAUUUCAAACUAUUCGGACUGAAAU